CACGUAGGGGGGCAAGCGUUGUCCGGAUUUAUUGGGCGUAAAGAGCUCGUAGGCGGCUUGUUGCGUCGACCGUGAAAACCCGGGGCUCAACUUCGGGCUUGCGGUCGAUACGGGCGGGCUAGAGUUCGGUAGGGGAGACUGGAAUUCCUGGUGUAGCGGUGAAAUGCGCAGAUAUCAGGAGGAACACCGGUGGCGAAGGCGGGUCUCUGGGCCGAUACUGACGCUGAGGAGCGAAAGCGUGGGGAGCGAACAGG
rnacentral:rRNA from 1 species